rnacentral:lncRNA from 1 species
CCCAGCCCUCACGGCCUCAACUCAAACAACAAGCUUUACAUCUCUUAUAUAGAGACUCACGCGCACACACAGCCACGGCCACACCGGCCACUAACCAAUCCCUAGCUACAUGCACUACAUGCACGCCCACGUCCAGACUACACGGCCAAGCCGUUCAACUAACCGACUGCAUGCAACCUGACCAAUUCUCCUGGCUCCAACUUGAUCUAUCCAGCCAGCCGGUUUGGCUUCAUCCUGCACGCGUCUCGCCGCUUCCCACGGCUAUACCAUCCCGGCAUCAAGCCUUGCGCCGUAUCACACGGCACCGCGCCUUCACGCCGUCAUCGGCAGCCCGGCAUCUCGCAGUCUCCGCAUGCCUCCGCUGAAACUUCACCGGACUAGCUACUCUCUAACCUAUGCAACAUGCAUAACAAAAGCAAACUAAAUAUGCAGAUACAUGAAUCAAGAUUAAACCUAACAUUUUCCCUCCUAAUCUUGAUUCUCCAAUCUUCACGCGGUUCACCCGCUGCCACUUGACGACACAAUCGCGGCGCUGCACACCUUGCCUGGACCGACGCCAUCGCAGCGCCCGCGUCCAUCACCAUGUACUCUUGCCGCACGCAGCGGCCACCUCUUGACGUGGACGACGCUGUCGCAGCGCCGAUCACCACGCCGUCUUCGCCAAGCGGCAUCGCACCAUAACUUUUGUUGGCUUCACACCAACUUUCCAUGAUGACGAUGGCAUCACACCACCGUCGUCGGCAUCACGCCGACUCUUCUUGUGGCAGCUUCGCACCGCCAUCUUCACAUAGCGGCACCGCAUGGCCACCAUCCUCCUUCUUGCGCCGUCGGCCUCCAUCUCGCAUGAAGUCCGUCGCGCCACAACCGACGCCGUCGCAGCCGUUGCCUCCGCCCAGCACCACGGCGGCCACCAUAGCCGCCGGCACCGUCGUCGCCGCCACGAAUCAACCUGGCUCUGAUGCCAAUUGUUGGCGCCGCCUCUCGCAGCGCCGCUUCUUCUACCUCGAGUUGCUGCCACUCACAGCUCCCUCUCUCUUUCUCUGGUUGUUUCUCUCAAGAACACAUGAAGAACACCCACGAACGCACACAUGCACCAAGGGAGAAACCAGCCGCUAGCUUUGCCAAGAGGCUCUCUCCUUGGUGAAAACAAACACUACAUUGUUUCUGCCCCAGCCCUCACGGCCUCAACUCAAACAACAAGCUUUACAUCUCUUAUAUAGAGACUCACGCGCACACACAGCCACGGCCACACCGGCCACUAACCAAUCCCUAGCUACAUGCACUACAUGCACGCCCACGUCCAGACUACACGGCCAAGCCGUUCAACUAACCGACUGCAUGCAACCUGACCAAUUCUCCUGGCUCCAACUUGAUCUAUCCAGCCAGCCGGUUUGGCUUCAUCCUGCACGCGUCUCGCCGCUUCCCACGGCUAUACCAUCCCGGCAUCAAGCCUUGCGCCGUAUCACACGGCACCGCGCCUUCACGCCGUCAUCGGCAGCCCGGCAUCUCGCAGUCUCCGCAUGCCUCCGCUGAAACUUCACCGGACUAGCUACUCUCUAACCUAUGCAACAUGCAUAACAAAAGCAAACUAAAUAUGCAGAUACAUGA